GAUGAACGCUGGCGGCGUGCCUAAUACAUGCAAGUCGAGCGAACAGACGAGGAGCUUGCUCCUCUGACGUUAGCGGCGGACGGGUGAGUAACACGUGGAUAACCUACCUAUAAGACUGGGAUAACUUCGGGAAACCGGAGCUAAUACCGGAUAAUAUAUUGAACCGCAUGGUUCAAUAGUGAAAGAAGGUUUUGCUGUCACUUAUAGAUGGAUCCGCGCCGCAUUAGCUAGUUGGUAAGGUAACGGCUUACCAAGGCGACGAUGCGUAGCCGACCUGAGAGGGUGAUCGGCCACACUGGAACUGAGACACGGUCCAGACUCCUACGGGAGGCAGCAGUAGGGAAUCUUCCGCAAUGGGCGAAAGCCUGACGGAGCAACGCCGCGUGAGUGAUGAAGGUCUUCGGAUCGUAAAACUCUGUUAUUAGGGAAGAAUAAAUGUGUAAGUAACUAUGCACGUCUUGACGGUACCUAAUCAGAAAGCCACGGCUAACUACGUGCCAGCCGCCGCAGUAA
rnacentral:rRNA from 1 species